GCAAUGCAUUAUUAUUAGGGAUCUAGUGCUUGAGCUUGCUUUGACAUCAUGGUAUUAGCAAAUUCUGAUAUAGCCAAAAUGGUGAAUAAGAUGAUGUACUUGAUAAGAAAAACCUGAUUUAACAAAUAAUUAAGAAGCCGGUAACAAUCACAUAAUCUCAUCAUGUGGGGAAUGCCUUGGCAACAGAAGAUGGUGCUUUCAUUCAAGCAAUAGCAACUUUCCAAUUUCAUAAGGUAGUUUAAUGGCCCUUUUAAGAACAUCUGUACCAGCCUAACAAUUAUUCAUGGAAAUUAAAAUUCAGAAUCAUAUUAGAUUGAGAGAUGAAAUAUAAUAAGCGAUUUGGCCACCAUAUAUGCAUUUAUCACCUUCAAUUUGCUCAUCUUUGUCUGGAGUAUUGCUUCUGCAUUAACUUAAUUAGCUUGCAAGCCACCUACAAAUGGUUUUAAAUAAUGUGUGAGAGUGUGAAUUCGAACGAAUUAAUCAAAUAUGCUGACAGGAGAAACAAAAGUAAAUAACCACAAGAAGUAGAAAUAUACUUUUGUUAUAUUCAGAGCAUCUUCUUGCGUCAAGUUCUUUUCCUUUAGCUCUGUUUCUGUUUGUGCUCAAACAGAAUGGCUCAAGGGUCAAGAUAAUUUUAUGACCAUCAAUCUUUUUGCAGCCACAUGCAGACUUGAAAAACUGGUCGUGGCACUAAGGAACUUGAAAAUUAGAAAAGAUUCAGAAUGAGUGACUAAAUAUUAUAAUCGAAACUAAUUAAACAUACACGCCUAGAAAAUCUGAAACUGAACUUCUCAAAUGUAUAUGCCUCUUCGCAGCAAUUGCUUGUGGUGGAAACUUUACCGCAAGGACUUUCUCAAACCCUUGAAGAUCACACUCUACCUGAUAACAAAGAAACAUAGUCAAUAUACGAAGAUGAUUUUACUAACAAGUGAGUGCUUACACAUAUUGGAAGGAUAAUGAUUACUCAUAACCCAAAUCCCCAACACUCCCUAAUAUCUCACUCAAGUGAGUACGAGCUCCCAGAAUUCACUACUGUGAAACUCUUACAACAAAAUUCCCUUUAAAGAUUCUCUACUCAAAUUUGAUGAUGAUGUCCCUCGAAAGGAGGCAAAAAAUCUAACACUGAUCAAAUUGGCUUGUGAACAAUUAAUCUUCCUGGCGAUCAUGCAUACCAGGUGUGGUGAGCAAUCUUCAUUCUGACAUUUGCCUUAAUAAGCGGCUUAGUAUCCUUAACCUGAUAACUUACACAAACAAAAACAACUUGAUUAAAGUAUAAUAUUUAGAGGCAGAACAGUAAAGAAGAUGAUAUAUAUUGGUACUAAAAUUUGACCUGUGUUAUCCUGACGUCAAGAAUCACAGCAUCUCAUGUGGGCAGAAUAUUCGCAGUACAAGAUGCUUGCAAAAUUGAAGCAGCAUCUUAUCACCUGUAAUUUAAUUAAGACAAUAACUUUCCCCAACCAUUUCAAUGCAUUAUUGGCAACUAAAUUCAGAGGGUGCUAAUUAAAUAGCCUUUGAACAAUAUAUUCUAAUUCUUCUCCAAUCUAACAAUUAUUUGGAAAAUCUGAAUGACAAUCAUGCAUCGACGACAUCAAAAUUUGGCUACAAAGCAGCCUGGAAAAGGCUUUACUCUCUGAAUGAGAGCAUGAAUUCGAAACAAAUAUCAUGAAUGAAGAAACAAAGGCAUAAUACCACAAAAAGUAAAACUUUUCCCAGGGCUAUCUGUUUCUGUUUGAACUAAAACCAAUGGAAACCGAUGGAAAUGAAUUUCUAGGAAUUAGACAUAUCAGCCAAAACAGGUACUCUGUACAAGCAAAGUAAAAUAGGGUUACAAAAAAUUUUAAGAUUGAUAUGAUAAUUAAAAUUUCAGUCACCAUAUAAUUAAUAGAAAACUUUGGACACAAUGAUUUAUUGCAUAUUAAGAUUGCUAUAUAAAAUAUAAUAUUAGCAUUAGGAGACCGCACCGAAGCAUACCGAAUUGAAUGUGCCUUUUCACAGCCAUUUUACAAGCUUUGAAGCUUCACCACAAAUGCUUUUUCCAACCCGUGAACAUGGUGCACCCGAGAGAUGCAAGCUAUGAAAUUGUUACUACAGCAAGCGUUGGAACAUUUGUUAAAAAAGGAAGUUUAUGAAAAUACGCCUUUGGAUACCAGUCUUCAGGAAUCAAUUCAUCCGUAAUAACAAUUUUCAAGAAUUAUCAACUGCUUUAAGCUCAUCGACAUCACAAAGAUCUCAACUAAAAUAGAGCAGAUCCGGCCAUCACUAUCCCUUCUACUGCUCUUUUCCUUUAGAGAAUGAUUGAAUUACAGAAUGCGUGUAAGGCAUUCUUAUUCAAGGUCCAAUGAUCAAACCUUGCACUAUAACAACAGAGGUAGUAGUUUCUUCGCCAGCCUAAUCCUUGGUCUCAGGAAUGUCCUCAACAGAGUACUCGAAAUCAACCUAAAAAUUAAGAAUGAGUUGGAAAACUGUUUAUGGCCCUAAAGAACUUGAAAAUAAGAAAAGAUUAAGAAUGAGUGACUAAACAUUUAAUCGCAACUAAACAUACAAACCUUGAAAAUCUAACUUUGAAGUACUCUUGAAUGAAUGAGCAGUUGCACGAGCUGGUGACAACUAAGGUUACUGUGAAGUCUCUUACAAAUCCUUAAAGAUGAUACUUUACAUACCACGAUAACCUGAUAACACAUAGGAACACAAUAAACAUUAAAGUGUAUUCUGACAAUGCAAAUUUGUGGAAAUCAUCAGCUGUGGUUACCUGGACAAUAUUGCCAACACCAAACUCCUUCCUCAAUUGAAACAUAUGAUCAGCCCACAAAUGCUUUGCUUUGUAGCUUUUGAGAGCCUGAAAUUGUUAUCACAACCAACAAUGAAAAUUGGGUGAAAAAAUUGAUAAUAUUAGCUUAAUUCCAUAUGUUUAUAUAGGAUAAACCGAUCAAAGAAUGAAAAAAGAUAGAAACAGAGCAGACCCAGCCAUCACUUUCUUCUUCAAAGUCGCACCAUAACCACAGUGGUAGUCGUUCCACUGCCAGCCUAAUCCUUGGUCACCCCAAUGUUCUCCAUGAAGUAUUCAAAGUCAACCUAAAAAUAAAUAAAAAUGCAAUGCAGGUGGAAAUGAAAAUUCUAUAAAUUAAAUAAAAUAAAAAUGCAAUGCUUGAGCUUGAGCUUGCUUUAGCAUCAUCGUAAUAGUAAAUUUUGAUAUAUCUUUACUUCUCUGUUCUUGUUUAUUCACAACAAGAUAUCAAUAGAAGAAGAUGGAAAUGAAAUUCUAUAAAAUAAAGCAAGUGAAUUACCAACAGAACAUUUUAGCAAUCCUUUGGCUAAACUUUUCAUUUUCUUAGCAUACUCUCCUGCCUGGUGAACAUAAUUAAACAAGUAUGAAAUAAAACAAAGUGGGCUAAUGUAGUAAAAACAAUAACACAAUUACUUUAAAGAAUUAAUGUCACGUAUAUUAUAUAUAAAAAAAUACGAUUAUCAUUAUAUAAGAUAAAAUUGAUAAUUUAGUUUUCAACAUUACUGCAAACGUAUCACAGAGAUUUUGUUACACAUAACAAAUUUUCGUACAUAUGAAAAUAAAUUACAUUGCAUGAAAUUUUACAAAAGAGCACAUAUUUUUUAAAAGUAAAUAAAUAUAGAAAUUUCAACAGACUACACUUGUAUUUUUUUUUAAUUAUUUAAUCUUUAGAAAACAAGUUUAACAGAUUUGAUAACUAGGAAGUUUUACGUAUUUAUACCAUGAUUGAUUCUAUAUAGAAUUUUAAUUCAAAAUAUAAUUAUUUUUAUUAAUUUCAUUGCAAGCAACAACGAAGUAAAUUAGAGGAGGAGGAGAAAUUACCGGCGAGUGAUAAAUUACCGCGACCACUUGAUGUGGGGAAUGCGAGAUAUCUUAUGCCAGUCUUCUCCUUUCCCCUCUCUAUAACGGUUUUCCAGAAGAGGACAUCUGUCAAUAGUCAAUUCCUGCAGCGUCGUCGUCCGAAGAAGGUAAUCCGGCAGCACCUUUAAUUUGGGGCAAUACUCAAUUACCAAGGAAGAAAGACGUGGUAUGUCUGUUGUCCUGUGAUCUUCUAGAAUGGGCAGUUCUUCCAUAUUUGCACAAAAAGAAAUCCUCAGUUUCUGCAGUGCCGUCGUUCGAAGAAGGUAAUCCGGCAGCGCCUUCAAUUUGUUGCAAGAACGAACUUCCAAGGAAGAAAGACGGGGCAUGAUAGAGAUGUUUUCCUUCCUCGUAAUCCUGUAAUUCCACUCUUCCAAUUCUUCCAUGUCCCAAAUUAUGAGUGAUUUCAAUUUGGGGAAGGCAGUAACUGAUGAUGAUGAUGAAGAUGAAGACGGGCCAUCCUCACUGCUUUCUUCUAUUCCCAAAAACUCAUUACCCACUCUUUUUACACUUUUCAAGUACCAUAGUUCGAGUUUUUCCAGAGGCAAUUUUCCCAAAGGAGGCAAAUGCUCACACUUAAGGCACGAGCGAAGAUAUAAAUUCCUUAGAUUGGUCAGUGAAGUCAACCAUUUGGGAAAAAUGUUGCGUCCAUAUAAUAUAAUCCCUAAUUUCUCUACACUCAAAGGCGGUUGUAAGGCUUUAAGAAGUUGUUCAUCUUUCUCUUUCUUCCUCCUCCUUUCUUCAUCUUCCCCAUCUACGACUCUACCAAACUCAAGACGCAAACGAAGGAGGUUUUGCUGAUUGUAAAGUUGUAAUCUCUCGACCUCAUCUAAACGGGACACAUUACCCAGCCCUUCAAUUCCACAUUCUCGAAGGAGUUGAAGAUUUUUCAGAGAUUCAAGCCUACAAGUAUUGCUACCAUCAACACCUCCACCCACCACAAACUUGUCUAAUGUUCGAAGACUGGUUAAUUUGGAAAUCCCUACUGGCAUGUAUUUCAACGAAUAAGUUUCAGCAUUCAGUAAACUCCUCAUGUUCUUUAACUUCCCAAUCCCCGCUGGCAAUUCUUUAAGAUUUCGGCACCGCCUAAUAUCUAGCUUUUGUAAAUUAUAUAAUUCACACAAAGUCUUAGGUAGUCUCUCUAUGCCUAAUUCAGACAAAUUAAGAUAUCUUAAAUGUAUCAAUUUUCCGACAUUUUUUGGAAUUUCUCUAAUCAAACUUGAGUGAAGACGAACAGGCGAGGAUGAUAGCCUUAUAACUAAUGAUUCCCUUAUAACUAAUGCCCUCAAACAUGCCAAUUUACUAAAUAACUUUCGAGUUUCUCUAAUCUUAUAUGUGUUUGGACAAAAACAUAGGCGCAACAGCCUUAUAACUAAUGCCCUUAAACAUUCUUUGCUACUACUAAAAGACGAAAGGAUGCUACUAAGAGACAGAUUGAAAUCACUUCUAUCAUAAAUUAAAAGGGUACGCAAUCUAUCAAGUCCACGAAUGGAUAUAGGAAAUGAAGUGCCUCUUUGAAAAUUUAACCCUAAGUGACGGACUUUGUCACCAAAAGAGUUUAUGACUGAGUCUUUGGUACCAUUAAUUUCUACCCACAAACAUUCUUUUCUACUUACAAAUUGGGCAAAAUCAUGUAUUAUGUCAUGCAUCUUGCAGCUCAUAAUAUCAUCAUCAUCAUCUUUUUUAAACUCUUGAAAGAAAGAGCGUGCUGCUAAAAUGUUGAAAUACUCUUCCCCAAUCAUCUCCAUCUCUUCGUCUUCUUCUGUAUUAAGAUAACCUUGAGCCAUCCAUAGUGAAAUUAGUUCCUCUUUAUUCAUAUUGUAGUUUUUUGGAAAGACAGCACAAUAUGAGAAACAUUGUUUUACCAUAGAAUUGGAGGGCAAAUCGUUAUAACUCAACAACAAAGGAGCUAAAAGACCUUGCCCAAUUGCUUCUACUUUCCACAUUUCACUCUCUAAAAUUCUUUGCCACUCUUUUACUGUACUUUUAGAGCGCAAGAGAUUCCCUAUUACCUUUGCAGCAAGAGGCAGGCCUUUGCACUUAUGUGCAAUUUUGCGCCCGAUUGGUUCUAAUUUUUCACGAUCCUCAAAGGACCUACGUAGAAAUGCCAUCUGCUUAAACAGUAACCAACAUUCCCCUUCUCCCAACUCCUUGACAGGGAUAAUAUCUAUUGAUCCCAACUGUAGUGCAACUGACCUAUCACGUGUGGUAAUUAGAAUUUUACUUUCAUGGUGGCCAUUCUUUAGACAAGAAAAGAAUGGGUCCCAUUUUUUGUAAUCUACAUCCCACACAUCAUCUAAAACAAGAAAAAACUUUUUUCCUUCAAUUGAUGUAUGGAUAUGGCUCAUAAGAGAUUGGAAUUCGCUUAAAUCAUAAGCUUCUUUUGACUUGCCUAGACCUUCAAUGAUUGCUUUGGCAACCCUAAUCCUCUCAAAAGUGUCUGAUACACACACCCAUAUAACUUUUUCAAAAUUUCUUUUCACCUCAUCAUUAUUAUAGGCCAGUUGUGCAAGAGUGGUUUUACCUAUACCCCCUAACCCAACUAGUGAGAUGAUAUGAAGGCCUUCUUGUUGUUCACUACUUUGACACAACAACUUGCUUAAGAGCUCAUCUUUCUCAUUAACUCUACCGCAAACCUCUCCCUCAUCAAUCAAGGAGGUGGUUCGCACUCGCUCUGGUUUCUUGACAUUGUUACUCACAUUCUCAACAAAUUUAAACAUAUCUUUUCGAGUGGCAAUACCAUCUAGCUUUUCAUUGAUUUCCCUAAUCUUGACAGCAAUGUCAUGACGAAGACUGAGUUGUUUGAAACUGCCACAGCAGUUUGAUACAGCACAAAAGAAGGAACGUACCUUCUUCUUAUGAACGCCCUCAAUCUGCAAUUUGAGCCUUGCAGUGGUCCACUCCUCCAACACAUCUUCCAUGUCGUAAGAUGCGUCUUUGAGCUGAUCCAGCCAAAAAGUAACAUCUUUCUCGUGCUGCAUUUGCCUUUUCUCUGCAUCUUCCAGCACAAGUUGAAUGGCUUGUAGAUUGCUGGUGAGCUUUUUCACUUCUUCGUCGACACCAGUAACAAGCCUCACCUGUUGUUUCAGUUCAUCAGUUGCAACUGAGCUCAGCUGCUCCAGGAGAGAGGAAACGAUCGCAUCAACCAUUCUGACAAAGAAGAUGAGAAUUCUGAAGAGUUAUUAGAUGUGCUUUUGUUGCGAAGAUAUGAAAGAAAGGAGUUAUUGCAUUCUUUUAUACUGCAUAGAAAAGGUUUAUGCUUAUCCCCACCCCACACGUCAAUGAUUGUAGAAUGUUUAAUUUCCCUGAUUCUACUCCACUAGUUGUGAUGCGUAAUUAUAAAUAUUCUCAAGUUAUGUAUGAAAAUCCCACAAAUUUGGAUCUAGUAAUGAUUUUUAUGUAUUUUUUCAUAAUCUUCUAAAAUACUAUAUCUGCAUGUUAUUUCGUGCAGAAAUAUGGCAUUGGGUGAAAAAAGUUAUGCUUAUCCCCACCCACACGUUAGUAAUUGUAGUAGCAUCUGUAAUUUCCAUGAUUCUACUCCACGGACGAACACAUUUUUUGUACUAACAUCUUUAAAUUCCCACACGUUAGGAAUUUGGCACAUAAUCUCAAACUCGUCGCAUCUUUAACGUAUGAGGUUGAUGAAUAAAUUCUUUUCUCAUAUCAAUUUAAAACUCCGAGAUUAUGUGCCAAAUUCCUAACGUGUGGGAAUUUUACCUCCUAAGUAAUCCGGCCCACUGCCAAGUGCCAACUUUUUCUCUGUCGAGUUAAUGAUGUUGUUUUGUUUUCCUUGUUUUAAUUAAUGUUGCGGAGAGAAACAGAUCGAUGCAAAUGGCUAGCCAGGUUUUGCAGAAACCGUGAAUGGUCUUGCAUGCAUGUGACAUAAAGCUUUAUAUAUAGCUUAUUCCUCCAUCAACAUUUCAAUGGUUCCAUCUCACGUGCACUUGGCUAUGAAUAAGGUCCAUGCAUGGAUCGAUCGAUUUAGGAGUUUGGACCAUCUCAUGCUGCAGAGUUAUGUGUCAUGUAUGUGUGUUGACACUUGCCAGUUCAUUUUUGUUAUAAAGAUUAUUGAUACUCGUAAAUGUACUACUUACAAAUCAUAAAUUUUGAGUUUGACACUUUAGUUUCAUUUUGUAAUCCCUACGCUCUUUAAAUAUUUGUAAUAAUAUAUUUCAAACUUUAACUCAGACGUAAUGAAUGAAGGGGGAUCCUCUUCUUAUAUAAAUUUUUAUUUUUUAACGUUCAAGUUACAUUUGAUUACGUGUACUUAUUAUCUAGUUUUGACUAUCUAAUGACAUUUGAUUACGUGUACUUAUUAUAUGAUUUUUUUUUAAAUGAUGGGUCUGGUGAGAUUUUUUACAUCUUGGAUUAGUAGGUCAAGAACGGGCAGGGCAGGGCCUUCUCUGAAGUCAAUCUUGUGAGCAACACCAGCUUUUUGGAUAAUUGGCAGCCCCAAUUCAUAAUUUUCUCAGUUGAUGUCCAUGGCCAAAAUCUGCAACCGAAGCUUAUUCUACUCUUAUUAAUCGAGAGAUAAUUUUAUCUCUAACUAAUUUAAUUGGGAGGAAAAUUGAGAGAGAUAUCCACUCUGUCCUUAUUAAUUGAGAGAUAAUUUUACCCUUACCCAAUUUAAUUGGAAAGGAAAUCGAAUUCCAACAAUAACUAGGACUUGAAUCCAUGCACUUAAGCUAACUUUAAGUUUUAGGAUGCAUGGUUAUAAUGUUCUUUAUUUAAAUCCUAACAAAUGGUGGGACUUGAACUUGUGCCUACAAACAUUGAGUGCUUAGGGGCUGCAAAAUUUCAUAACUUAAUUUUAGUUGAUGUGGUAUGUGCCCUAUCACAUAAAUAUGUAGAUAAUAAUAAUUAAUACAUUAACAAAAUGAAAAAUAUUAGUUUACAAAAUACAAAUCCAAAUUUUUUGUGUGACAAGGGACUUAAAAGGGAGAGACUAAACAAAUGUGGUGAAAACGACAUGUAUUACUAAAACUAAAAAUACGAAGUCUAGGCAAUUGAAAACAUCGGGUUUUUUAUUUAAAUAUCCCCAAUUUGUCCUUAAAUACCAAAUUUAUACCCUAUUAUAUACAUAUACCUCACGAAGAUAGGGAAAAUAAAAAAUAACCUUAAAAAAAUCAAGAAUCCACACAUUUCUUCCUCUCAGUGCAGGAAGAUGUCGAGUACGAAGUCGGGUAAGUCGAGAAUUUAGUCGAGCAAGAAUUGGAGAUAAGUAAGUUGAGUAUAUGGUCCAGUAGGAAGUUGAGUAAGCAUAUUAAAUGAGUCCAGUAUUAAGUGGUAGAGUAUUAAGUAAAAGUCAAGUAAAUUUUUUAAACAAGUCAAAUAAAAUUUAUGUAAUUUUUAAAGAGGUUGAGUAUUAAGUCGGGUUAGUACAUUGGGUCGAGUGUUAAUAUUUUUAAAGAAGUGAAGUCUGGUAAGUUGAGCAUUCAGUCGAGUAAGAAGUUAAGGCAAUUGAAUAAGUCGAGUCUCUAGUCGAGUACGAAGUCGGGUAUAAAGUCUGGUAAGUUGAGCAUUCAGUCGAGUAAGAAGUGAAGGCAAUUGAAUAAGUCGAGUGUCUAGUCGAGUACGAAGUUGGGUAUGAAAUCUGGUAAGUUGAGCAUUCAGUCGAGUGAGAAGUGAAGGCAAUUGAAUAAGUCAAGUAUCUAGUCGAGUACGAAGUCGGGUAUGAAGUAUGGUAAGUUGAGCAUUCAGUUGAGUAAGAAGUGAAGGCAAUUGAAUAAGUCGAGUACGAAGUCGGGUAUGAAAUAUGGUAAGUUGAGCAUUCAGUCGAGUGAGAAGUUAAGGCAAUUGAAUAAGUCGAGUAUCUAGUUGAGUACGAAGUCGGGUAUGAAGUUUGGUAAGUUAAGCAUUUAAUCGAGUAAGAAGUGAAGGUAAUUGAAUAAGUCGAGUAUCUAGUUGAUUACGAAGUCGGAUCUGAAGUCUAGUAAGUUGAACAUUCAGUUGAGUAAGAAGUGAAAACAAUUGAAUAAGUCGAAUAUCUAGUCGAGUAAAAAAGUCGAGUAAGUAGAUUGAAUGAGUAGGGUAUUAAUUUUUUGUUGGCAUUUUAUUGAGGCUAUUUUUGUACUUUCUUUGGUUUUUUAAGUAUGUAUAUGCAAAGUACAGAUUUUAAUAGAUGGAUGUAUAUUUUGGGUAUUACGAGAGAAACGGGGUAUAUCCCACGCAAUUCCUUCGAAAACAUCUCUGUCAAUUGCAAUGAACAGAUCACAACCCUUCAUAAUUAAACAAAAUCAAACUUGAAAAAAAAAAUCACACACACACACACAAAACAAUCACAAAAACUAUUUGUUCUGAUCAUCCCUGCUUUUUUUUAGCGUAGCUCUUGGAAUGAAAAUUAACAAAAAGUGUCAAAAGAGAAGCAUUAAACACAGCAUUGAAGCACCAGCCCAAAAUCCCAGAGCAACCAAAUCCCGUAAAAUGAUAAUACAGCAUCAAAACCGAAACAACAAAACUAAACACAAACUGAACAAUCUAACAAUCAGUGACCAAUCUCUUCCACUUUGGCCGCAACCCCAUCACACACAAUAGAUAGUACCCGUACAUGAUCACAUGCACACUUGCAUUAGUCACAAGUGCAAUAGGAAACAAAGACUGCUUCGUCUGUAACCAAAGGUAGCACAUUACGACGACGGUUGCAUGGUGGUAGACGUGGAGGAACGUGAGCCAUUGGAUGGAUUUUGACAAAAUGAUCAAAAGGGUGUCUAAGAAUUCGAGUAUUUUGGAGAGGUAGAAGAGGUAAGCGUAGAAGAAGAGGGGCCAGACGGAGAAAUGGUGGGGGGGAAACAGAGGGUGUAAUGGAGGUGGGGCAAAUGGACGAUGAUGGAGAGAGUGCAGCCAACGGCCAUGAUGAGGGAGAGGAGGAGGAGGGUGAGGUUAUGGACGGCUGUGAUGGGCUUGAGGAUGUGGGGUCCAAUGAGAGGUGAUGAUGAUGGUGAUGUUGAUGUUGAUAUGUGGUAGAGGAUGAAUGUGAGGGAGAGGUAAGUGAGGAUGGAGAGAAUGAGGAAGUGUGGGGAAGAAGCUAGUGUUUGGUUCUGAGUCCAUGUGAAGCUGAGGAUUUGGGGGUGGUUUACAAGACAAUAUUGGAGUGUUGAGGUGAUUGAAUUUGAAGCCAUGGCUAGUUUUGGGGGAAGAAAGAUUUUGGAAGAGAUGAUGUUGAGAUGAACGGGGAGUUUAUAAAGUUUUGGGAUAAUGUGGAGGGUAUUUUGGACAUAUUGUUGUCUCAGCUUAAAUUUUGGGAAAAAGAUGAUCAAUAAGAAGCUCUUUUUUUCAUAUCAAUUUAAAACUCCGACGGUGUUUCCAAAAAUUGUUUUUCUUUUUCCGUUUUUAAUUUUAAAUCAUAAAUUUAGUAAAAGAAGUUGAAUCAAGUGAUCACUUUUUUUUUAAUGUAAAACAAUUAAUUUCUUUGUGAUUUAAGCAAAUAUUGAGUUGCAUACUUUAAAUAUAUUAAUAUUUGAUUCGAAAUUUCAUCUACCGAAACUACAAAAAUUAAUAUUUUCUAUUAAAUCAAAACCAAAAUUAAAGAUGACUCCUUGUCUGCCAACUGUCAUUAAACAAAGCCAUCACUCACGUGAAAAAAAAAAGUGAUAUAUUCAUUUUAACGUAAUUUCAUACCAACAUAUCAUUCUUUUUUUUCCAAUAAUGACCUCUUUAAUUAUAAAUAUGGUAAAAGGGGAUGGGUUCGAGGUAUGGCGUCCGGGCCUUUGUGACAACGGUAUCUUUGGACGUGGGUGUCGUUAGAUUUUUGGCUAUUUUCUGGUCAAUCAAACUGGUGGAUCACAUGCAUUUUAAUGACCUCUUUAAUUAUAAAAAUAUGGUAAAAGGGGAUGGGUUUAAGGAAUGGCGUCCAGGCCUUUGUGACAAAGUUGGAUGUGGGUGUCAUUUAGACUUUUGGCUAUUCUGCUCAAUCAAACUCGUGGAUUACAUGCACUCAACGCGGACAUUAUGGAAAUGGGAGAAAAUUAUGUUAGUAAUAGCAUCUUCAAAAGUUUCUAUACAUUUUACUCUUUAAAUAUUUAUUUACUUAUUUAUAUGAUAAAUAGAAAGGUAAAAAAAUAUAUUAUUCUCCAAAAAAACUCUUUCAAAUAAAAAUUAAGUUAAUAUUAUUUUAAUCAAAUAAUUAUUUUUUAAAGGAAAAGUUAACAGCAAUUAAAGCACUUCUCUUUCUCUCUCUAAUAAAAAGUAAUAAAAUAUUAAUUGAAGUGUUUUUUAGAACCUUAAAUGUUGAUGUGACUCUUCAAAUAAGUAAUAAAAUCUUAAUUGAAGAGCCUUUUGGUGAUGGUUUAAAACCCACUGUUUUCGUUCUAAACUAAGUGAAUUUAUCUCGUGAGCUAAGUAGUUUAGGAGAUAACUCAAAUAAUUAACUUUUAUUAGUUUAAUAAUAAGAAUUUUCGAUUAUAUUUUAAAAGGUAUAAUUCAUUACAAAAAAUUACUUAAUAAAAAUAACUUUAUUUAACAUAUUACAUUUUUUCAAUAAUAAAAUAAUUCAAAUUUUUAAUUAUUAUAACAAAAAAAAUUUGUAAUAUAAUCCAUUCAUAUACCACAUCACGUAAAAUUAACCUAGUACUACAUGUAAUCUUGUUACUACUAUUCCUAUAAUAUUCUACACAUCAUAUACUAUCAAAUUCCAUCCGGCAUGCCAAAUGUGCAAAGUUUGAGUAAGACUUGUUAAAGUUGAGAGUAACAUCUUAUAUGGCCAAGCGCAUUGAGUAUGGAUUUGCAUGAUCGAGUGAGUACAACUAAAGUCGGGUAGAGUCUGGAAAAUCCCUAUAAUGUUGAGGUUGGAGAACUAUACUUUUUAAGGUACAUAAUUAAACAAUUUUGGUAAAUAUUUACUAUUAUAACUUAAAAUUAAUUUGAUUUGAUCUCAUAUAUUAUUAUAAUAAAAAAACUUAUAAUAUCUUUAUUAAUUUUAUUAAAAAUUAUUAUUUAGAAGUCAUAUAUUUAUUACACAUUGUCAAAUUUUCAGCUUUUUGUUUUUUAACAACAGCUAGUAAUAUCAACAAGACCUAAGUUGAGUAUGAUCAAUUAAUUAAAAUUAUGAUUUUUUUUUGUAUAAAAUAAUCAUUAGAUAAUUAGUCUGUAAAGAAUAUCGGCUACUUCAAAUGGAAACUUGCGAUAAAAAAUGCAUCACAAAAGUAACAAUGACACACUAUAUAAGAAAUCUGAAAUAGAAUUUGCAAAAUUGAACUGAGUUACGGAGAGUAAAUAAGACUCAAAGGAAACAUGGGCAAUUAUUAUUAUCUAGGAAACAAUUCAUAGCUAAAACAAAAUUAACUAUACUUGCCAGGAAAUAUGGCGAAUUCCACCACCUCCUACAAGUUCUUAGGUGUCUUAGAGUUUGAUGACGACUUCCAUGCUGUCUCUUCGACAGGCAGCAAAAUUGGGCAAUUGACUACAUUAACUCCAAGAAAUUUAUGCAGUCACCUUCCUCCGGACUAUCCUCUUUCUUUGAGCUUUGGUUGCCCCUAUUUCCCCUUCAAUAGAGUCAUCACUGUUUUGUUUGAAGCCAAGGAGCCCAAGAUCAGAAAAAUGGCAUUCUUUGGUAUCAAUCCCUCGAUCCCAAAGUCACGUCACUAACUUUCUGUUGAUCGCGUAGCUAGUUCAUGUAUGCCACAGCAGCGGAAGGUAGCCUGAAGAGAAAAAACCUCUCUCUCUUUCUUGCUCAGUAACCACCUGGGCACUUUUGUGCUGAGCCAUGACAUCCUGAGAUGGCCUGUUGUGUAAGCCUUCUUCAAAAGGUCAUCUGUCGAUCUUUCUCCUAAUUAGACAUCCAAAACCCAGCAUGGAAUCCAUUUGAGAAGGUGGACAAUAGACAAACUCCAACGCAUACAGACAGUAAAGAAGAAUUUAGACGCAAUCACUGUGGCUGAAUAAAUGGGCCUAUUAAGCCUAUUAAAAGUUGGAACCAUAUUCACCACUCGCAGUUCCUUAGAGAACUUUAUCAGAAUUCUGAAAAUUUAAAACUAUUCUUACAUAUUUAACUGUAAAACAAGAGAAAUUGUACUUCCGUAGCAAAGUCUCACUAUUGGUAAGUAUCUGGACUUGGAAAGGAUGCUAGUUGAUUAAGUAAAGGAAAAUUGAAAUCAGACUUUGAGGUGAUAGAUCUAUAUACACUUUAAUCGGAACCACAUUAACAUCAUAUGAGCCAAACAAACAAAUUCCCCAGUCAAAGUUCAACAAACAAAACAUUAAAACAAGAGUAAUUUGGUGUAUCAAUGUAUAUAUAGAGAUGUCGAUCAUUGACAAAUACGUAAAAGAGGGAGGGAGAGACCUCAAAGCCGUGCUUAACAACAUUGCUACUCCAAUAACUUCAAAAUGGUUGGCGACGUCUCUAUCAAAGCCACACAAUAGCUGAUAUCUCAUGUUUGCAUGUAGUCCAAUGAAAGCACCAUAACCAAGAACAUUAGUACUCACAGAUGGGUUUGUCACAGAUAACCUGUCAGGCAAUAAAAAUUGCCCAAAUUAAACAAAUGUUAGACCGGCUUAGACAGUAAACGGAACAAUUUCUAAUUUUACUUAUUUUAUAACGAAUAAGUGAACAAAGGAAUGAAAAGGAAGUUUGGCAACAGUCUUUUUACCAGCCAGAUAGUUUGACAAAGAAUCUUGCACUGCUCCUGCAGCUAAUCCACCAUACACAACUCUGCAGUCUUGUUUGGGAGUCAAAAUUCUCAAAAUGGGUAACUCUGUUCAAAUAUACUGUUUGGGAACUUUUGUAAUGUAUUUUGCAAGUCAAACAGGAAGGUAUUUCCAUAAGAAGGUUCACUUCACAUGCUCAACAAUUCAAAUUUGCGGAUGAUAUUUCUCAAAAUGGAGGGCUCUAUUUGGCUUGCCAACAAUCUUCCUCACCAUUAUCAUCCUUGCUAUACCGGUUAAACUGAACAGUCUUCAUUCUGACAUUUGCCCUAUUAACCUGAGUACACAAGAAUCCGAAACAACUGUUAGAAAUUAUAAUCUUUAUAUAUAGCCAAAAUGUUGAAUAAGAUGAUGUACUUGAUAAUAAAAUACCUGAGUUAAUAAAUAAUUAAGGGCCGGUAACAAUGUCAGCAUCUUAUCAAGUGGGAAAGCCUACGCAACGAAGAUGCUGCCUGCUUUCAAGAAAUAAUAACUUUCCAAUUCCAUAAGGUAGGUUAAUGCCCUUUUAAAAAUAUCUCCACCAGCCUAACAAUUAUUCAUUGAAAUGUGUGAGUGUGAAUUCGAACGAAUUAAUCAAAUAUGAUGACACGAGAAAGAAAAUUAAAAUAACCACAAGAAGUAGAAAUAUACUUUUGUUAUAUUUAGUGCAUCUUCUGUGUGUGCUCAAACGCAAUGCCUCAAGGCGCAAGAUAAUUUUAUGACCAUCAAUCUUUUGCAGCCAUAUGCAGACUUGAAACAUUGGCGGUGGUUCUAAGGAACUUGAAAAUUAGAAAAGUUUCAAAAUGAGUGACUAAAUAUGAUAAUCGAAAUUAAUUAAAUAUACACGCCUUGUAAAUAUGAAACUAAAUUACUCAAAUGUAUGUGCCUCUUCGCGCAGCAAUUGCUCGUGGUGGAAACUUUACUGCAAAGACUUCCUCAAACCCUUGAAGAUCACACUCUUCCUGGCAACAAAGAAACAGAGUCGAUAUACGAAGAUGAUUUUACUAACAAGUGAGAGCUUGCAAAUAUUGGAAGGAUAACGAUUGCUCAUAACCCAAAUCCCCAAUACCCUCUAAUAUCUCACUCGAGUGAGUUCAAGCCCCCAAAAUUCACUACAGUGAAACUCUCGAAACAAAAUUCUCUUCAAAUAUUCUCAACUCAAAUUUGAUAAUGAUAUCUCUUGAAGGAAGGCAAAAAAUCUAACACUGAUCAAAUUGGCUUGUGAACAAUUAAUGUUCCUGGCCAUCAUUCAUACUAGGUGUGGCGAACAAUUAAGCUGCUUAGUAUCCUGAACCUGAUAACUUACACAAACACAAAACAACUUGCCUAAAGUUUAAUAUUUAGAGGCAGAACGGUAAAGAAGAAGAUAUAUAUUGAUACUAAAAUUUGACUUGCGUUACCCUGAUGUCAAGAAUAGCGGGAUCUCAUGUGGGCAAAAUCUUCGCAAUACGAGAUGCUUGCAAAAUUGAAGCAGCAUCUUAUCACCUGUAAUUUAAUUAAGAUAAUAACUUUCCCCGACUAUUUCAAUGCAUUAUUGGCAACUAAAUUCAGAGGGCGCUAAUUAAAUACCCUUUUAACAAUAUCUUCUUAUCUUCUUAAUCUAGCAGUUAUUUGGAAAAUCUAAAUGACACUUUUAUGUAUUCUGUGAGAUGCUCAUUCAACCAUGUUUGCAUUCUUCUUAUACUAAUAGGAGAUUUAAUUUUUACCCUCAAGUCAAUGUCAAUGUGAACGUUCUUUUGUGCUGCAAAUUGAAGGAGUCCCCACAGGAGUCACCGUCGUGGUUACUUGCUGCUCUUAAGAUAAUUAGUAACAAAAUAUUUGUAAACUGCAACAAAAAGCUCAGUGCAAUCUAUCUAUGAAUCUUGUGAGUUCACAUAUAAUACAGUCGAUUUAGAAUAGUCAUAAAUUUUUUUAUUAUAAAUAUUAGUAUAUUUUUAAUGGUAUAAUAUAUAUCGAUGAAACUAUAUAGAGUAAUUUCGCCUAAUUGUAUAAAUUCAUUACGAAUAUCAUCACAAAUUUGUAUUUGGUCGGGACCGUGCGAGUGAAAUUUUUGAUAAAAUCGUCUCCUGACAAUUUAUUUAUUAUAUUCCAUUCCUUUUAUUAUCAGGUAGGCCAAAGCCAUUUGGACAUUUGAAAAAAGUAUGUGAUUCUGUUUUAGUCUAUUAUGUCACGACAAAAAGAGAAUUGGAAAAUGUAACAUUCUCAAAUUAAUUUGUAGUGGAAAAGAGAAAAAUAAGACAAAAGUUGGAAAAAUCAUGCAGCCGACCCUUUUUUUUUAUCUGAUUGCGCAAUAUUAGGUAGGCGAAUGCGACUUCAUCGAUAUCACACAGCAGUGGUUCUGUCAUUAAUUUUUUCUUUUAUUUAAUUAAGAAAAGGAAGAAAAGAUAGCACAUGUUAUGAUUAUUGUGAAUUUUCCAUCCCUUAUAUAAAUUCUCAAAUUUAUUUAAAUUGUGAGUCAUAGAAGUAUAUUACCUAAACUAUUUUAUCAGGCCAUGUUCGGAUACUAGGAUUAAGUAUGGAAUUGGACUAAUUUUGUGAUUAUAUUUUAUAUCAAAUUUGGUAAGCUUAAUUGAAUUGGACUAAGGGACUAAAUUUAAGUUUAAUCCUAAAAUUAUGGGAUUAAUAAUCCUAAUUUACACAUUCCUUUAGUUGGGACUUGGGAUAAGAUUAAAGAAAAAAGUUAUCCAUUUAUGAGACUUUAAUUUAUGUCAUUAUUUUUUUAUUUAUACUUUAAUAUUAAUUAAUUUAUUAAUUUAUUUUUAAUUUAUGAUUUUACUUAAAAUUUAUUUUUAUUUAUUAUCUAUUAUCUGGUUAAAUUAGAACUUUACUUCUACUAACUCUUGCGAUUAAUUUUUCAUUACUUGCGUAUUUGAUAAUUUGCCAAUAAAAUUAACCAUUUAAUAAUUUCUUGCAUUAUUUGAUUGUAUUAAAUUUAAUAAUCACUAAUAUAAUAUUAAAAAUAAUCAUGAAAAUUAAUAAUACCUUCAAUUAAUUGAUUUUUAUAUACUUUUUUAAAUAUUUGAUAAGAAGUUGAUAAAAAUUAAUUAAGGAUUUAAAAUUUUAUUCAUUUUUUAUUUAUUUAUUUUAUCAUGAAUACCCAGUAUCUUACAAUAUAAUUAAUUUUCUUAUUCAGACUACUCAGCAUCAGCUCCUGUAAAAUUUCUUACAUUAUAAGCAACAAAAUAUUUAUAAACUACAACAAAAGGCUUAGAUCAAUCCACCGAUGAACCUUUUGAAGUUAUAUAUAAUAUAUUAAUUGUUGAUCUAGAAUAGUCUUAGUGGAUAGAUUUUUUUUAAUUAUAAAUAUUAAUAAAUUUUUUAUCGUUUAAUAGAUAUUGAUGAAAUUAUAUGGAGUAAUUUCGCCUAAUCAUAUUAAUUCAUUAUGAAUUUCAGCACAAAUUUGUAUGUGAUCGAUCUGGACCGUGUAAGUGAAAUUUAUUUACUAUAUUUUUCAACUUGGCCGACAACAUCUUUUUGUCAGGUAGGCAAAAGCAAAAGCCAUUAUCUCAUUAAUUGAUUUGGUCAUUUGAGAAUGUAACUCUAUUAUGCCGUGACAAACUCCAAGAUCUAAUUUAGAGAGCGACCCAAAUAAUGGUAAUUAGUAAUUUAUUACAUCUGCAGUUAGAUAGAUACUUUGUCUGGGAAAAAAAUAAAAUCAGUUUUAUAAUGAUUUUAAUUAAUUCAUUUGGUCAUUUGAAAAAGUUGUGGCUCUGUUUUAGUCCAGUGUCAAUAUAUAACUUUAUUAUGUCAUGACAAACUUCAAAAUUUAAUUUAGAGUGUGACUCGAAUAAUUUUAAUUAGUAAUUUAUUAUAUCUACAGUCGGAUACUUUGUUGAGAAAAAAAAAAAUAAAAUCUGUCCCAUAAUGAUUUUAAUAAAUAUCAUACUAUUGUCUACGGACUUACCUCAUAUUACAAAGAAUUAAAAUAUGCGAAAGAUAACUAAGGAAUAAAAUUUUUCCACAAUGAUUUAUAAAAAUUGCUUUUGAAGAACGGUUAUGAUAUUAUAUUAAAUUACUAAGAAUUUAGUUAACCUCUCAAGAAGUCUAUUUGGUUGACUUCUCGAGUUUAAAAUUCGAAUGUCAAAAAAGAUAAAAGGUUAAAAAAAAUAUUUUAAAUAUUAUCCACCCUUUUACUAUUUUAAUAUACAAAAAGAAGAAUUACUUGUUUUUAACAAUAGCAACCGGGGGCAUAAUAUAUCUGAUGGAUUUUUUUAAGGAACAAAACUUAUUAUAUCUCCUAUCAAAAAUGUCAUUUUUGUUAGUAAAAGGAUAUCUAUAUCUCCAAAUUUUGGAAAAAUGGUUACCAGCGCUUCCAAGUCCUAAAUUUUCAAAAAGAGACACUAAAACUCAUUUUUUACUACAAUACCCUUUACUUUUAUUAUCCCAAAAGUUAACUUUAAUUUUUUUUUAUAAUAAAUAGAAAUAUAAUAUUAAAAUAAAUGUAUUAAAAUUUAAAUUAUUAUGAAAAAUAAUAAUUUUAAUAUUAUUAGUAUAUGAGACUUUUUUAAUUGUAAAAUGUAUUUAAUGCAAAUAUUUAUUUAAAAUCUCUAGAAUAAAUACAAAUAUAUUAUUAAAAUAAAUAUAAUAAUUUACAUAUUUAAAUUUAUUUUAAUAUUAUUAAUCUACUACAUAGAUUACAUUAUUUAUAUAAUAUUUGUGUUUACUAAAAAUUUGCAAGUUAAAUUUUUUCGGGAUACUAAAGGUAAAGAGUAUUAUGGUCAAAAGAGAGUCUUGAUGUCAUUUUUAGAAAACUUGGGGUGUUGGUGACUAUUUCUCCAAACCAUGGGGAUAUAGAUAUCCUUUUCUCUUUUUUAUUUUAAACAAGUGGUGACUAAAGAUUAAACUGUCAUAUAUUCACAAGAUAUUCACCACAAAAUUUGUAGGAAAUUUCUUCUUCCCUAAGCGGAAAAUACAAAACAAAAACAUAAUUGGCAAUUUCACUAGCAAAACUAAUAAUACUUUUGUUCCAUAUCCAGGGGUAGAGCUCGGGGUAAAUCUUCAUGACGCCCAAAUUCAAAUUUCAAGUGUUAGCUGGGAAUUAAUUUUAGACAAUUUUAUUUAUUUAUUUAUAGCUAGUAUGUAAUUGUUAGGUAUUUCAAAAUUUGAGAAUUUUGUGAUUCUGUGAGAAUGUUGAUUCAAGCAUGUUUGCAUUCUUCUUAUAAGUACCAUAGGAGAUAUUUAGUUUUUUACCCUCAAGUCAAUGUCAAUGUGAACGUUGUUUUGUGCUGCAAAUUAAAGGAGUCCCCACAGGAGUCACCGAUUUGCUUUGAGAAUUUUGAGAAUUAUGUUUUGCGAGUGAAAUUGCCAUUUUGUCAUAAUGGAAUUUUGCUUUCUGAUCAAUAAUUGAGAAUUUUGCUUGUAGCUACAGGCUGCAGCGAUUUUGAUUUGACGGCUUUGAUUCAUAAUUGAAGUUACUGUUGCAAGUAAAAACUAAAAAAAUUAACAAAAUAAAAAUCAAAGACUUAGGUCCAUGUUGCAAGUAAAAACUAAAAAAAUUAACAAAAUAAAAAUCAAAGACUUAGGUCCAUGUUUUAUCAAAAUUUUAAUAAAAGGCUAUUUGUCAUUUUGUCAUAAUGGAAAAAUGAUUAACAAAAUAAAAAAAUCGAAUUUACUUGAUUUUAUUUUACAAAAUAUAAAUUAAAUUUCUAUUAUAUGUAUAAAGUUUAUACAUCAAGUGCUUAGGGGUCAAAUCAAUCUUUUUAUACCUAAUUUUUAAUAUUUUACUUCGAAACCUCAAAAAUUUUUAAAGUUUGUUGGGUCACAAUCCCCGCUAGGAGUGGGCAAAUUUGUGUUCAUAUCAACUUGAAUAGGUUUUGGGUUGAUUAGGCUAGAACUGGAUCAGAUCAAAAAGUAUGAGAGAAAUUAAUUGAGCUUCUCCCAAGAAAAAUACAUACAGAUGAUUGAUAUAUAACCAUUAAAUAAUAAAUAUGUUAGACUUACAUUUAUUUUUUAGCCCUAAAAGUAUGAAAAAAUUAAUACUUUCCGAAUUUAUUUUUUGUACCGUAAAGAAUCAAAUUACUCACAAAAUUAUUUUUAACUUUCAUCAUGCAAACAAACAAAUCAUCAUCAAUUUCAAUAGAAAGAAGUAGAAUAUGAUGUAUUUAGGACUUCCUACUCUAUUAGCUAGGUUAAUAACAUGUUAAUUGUCACAUCAUUAAUUUUAGAUUAUAAAUUUUAUAUUCAAACUUUGUAUGACUGCUCCUUUUUCAAUGAUCUAAUGUUAGAGUGCAAUUUAUGCACUAGUUUUGCAUUGUUUACUUCCUUUAAUAUUGAUAUUUUACACUUAAUAAUAGUGAUUUACUUGUAUUUUAUUUUUGUAGGUGCAAUUCUAUUGAUUGGUGCUAAAAUUGAGAUACAAGAUGAUGUUUAAGGAUGGUUGUUCUCUUGGAUAAAUUAUGAGUGUCAGAAGAACUUUGUUGAUAAGGCGUGGGCGCGUGCUGUCAACUACGGACCUGCAGUUUUUAGUUUAAUGUGUUUUGUAUUUUUGGUUAUUUUUGUAAUUAUGAAUUUAAUGUUUCAGAUAUUAGUAUUUUAUUUUAAAUAGAACUCUAGAGGAGAAGAGAGGGAGAGUAUUUAAGGGAGGAAUCUAUUGUGAAAAAUGUGAGAGAUUGGAGAAAAAGAAAGAAACCCUAGAUCUAAACUUUUCUCUUCUCUCUAUGAAGAACUAAACCUAUUUUUCUAGUUGAAGGUUAAUGAAGCUUUGAUUCAUCACUACUGUGAGAUCUUUCUUAUGCUUUAAUUGUUUUAUUGCUUUUUGGGUAUUUGUUUAUUUUUUGAAUUAUUUUCAUGAUUAUGUUUGUUAAUUAGGUAAUUGGACACUAUUUAAUUAUCAACUUAAUCUAUUGUCAAUUCAAUGAUUCAUCGUAUGAAGAUUUUAAUGUUUGUGACAAAUAACAUAGCAGUGAGUUGUAUUAUGAGAAUAAACAAUCUAAUUUAAAUGAACCAUCGUAUGUGUUUGUUGAUUAGGAUUUGGGUCUCUCUGGUUUUUCAGGCUGUCAAUUGAUAUAAUCUUAUGAUUGUAUUUAGGGUUGUCUAUUGAUUAGGGAAAUAACCAACGGUCGUACCUUGGUUAUCGACUAGUUAAGGAGAGAUUGGCUAUUAGAGGGUCUCAGUAGCUAUAACCGGUGUAUUCAUAAGUAGUAAUAAUUUAUAUUUGAAUCAAUGAUUAGUAGUCGAAUCAAGCUCAGUUAAUUCCUUCAACCAAAGCUUUCUCCAAUUUGAAUUACAACUUUAAUUUGCAUUCUAGUUAUUUUAAUUUGAUUUCUAUUAUUGUCAACAACUCCCCCAUUUUACGUUUUACAUUUUAAAAGGAUUUAAAUAAUUACCGAUCUCUGUGAACACGACCCUGCUCAAUCAUUAUACAUAAUUUAUUUAGAGUAUGUAUUUAUUUUUGCUGUCUUCGACAAUCAUCAAAUUUUGGCGCCGUUGCCGGGGAUUGGUGUCGUUUAUUUAAUCCUUUUUACAUUUUACUUGGUGUAUGGUUCAUUCUUCUCGUACAGGUACACUUUCGUUUGAUCCUGAAAUUGAGAAGACAGCUCGCCAGCUGAGACAGCAGACGAAGCAAGCUAAGCAACGAUUCUCGUCGCCUUUGCUUUUUGAAACAGAUACAGUGUCUGAUUUGAUUGAAUCAUCUAGCGAUUCAGAAGAACAAGUGAUGGAUAGAGCUGCACCUGUAGAAAGAACUCUUAAAGAGUUAGCUGAACCAGACUUGAAUCAGCAACCACUCUGCAUUCAAUAUGUAGACUUGGAGGUAAAUUUUGAAUUAAAGUCUGGUCUUAUUAAUUUAUUACCCAAGUUUCAUGGUUUUGCAGGUGAAGAUCAUCAUAAACAUCUCAAGGAGUUUCAUGUUGUGUGCUCAAGUAUGAGGCCACAAGGCGUGACUGAAGAGCAGAUUAAGCUGUGUGCUUUUCCGUUCUCUGCAGAUGGGCUAGCUAAAGACUCGUUGUACUACUUGCCUCCUGGAUUGAGUACAACGUGGAAUGGUUUGAAGAAGCAGUUCCUUGAGAAGUACUUUCCUGCUUCAAGAGCUGCCAACAUCAGAAAAGAUAUUUGUGGGAUCAGACAACUUCCUGGGGAGAUUUUGUAUGAGUAUUGGGAGUGAUUCAAACAAUUGUGUGCCAGCUGUCCUCAGCAUCAGAUUUCUGAUCAACUUCUUAUUCAAUAUUUUUACGAAGGACUGUCAUUGAUGGAUAGGAGUAUGAUAGAUGCUGCUAGUGGAGGCGUGUUGGUGAACAAGACCCCUACUCAAGUAAGGGAGUUGAUCUCAAAUAUGGCUGCCAAUGCACAACAAUUUAGCAGCAGGCAAGAUCCCACUUCAAAGAAGGUGAAUGAGGUAAAUAUUUCUUCUGUUGAACAACGUUCAGAUAAACUUACUUCUCUUGUGGAAAAGUUUGUUUUAGGUAAUGUACAAUAGGUGAAGACUUGUGGCAUCUGUUACAAUAUGGGUCAUUCAACUGAUAUAUGUCCUACGCUUCAAGAAGAACCCGUUGAACAAGCCAAUGUAGUUGGAGGAUUUCCAGGCAAGCCUCAGAAGAGGUAUGAUCCUUAUGCACAAACAUACAAUUCAGGGUGGAAGGAUCAUCCCAACUUCAACUAUGGAGUUAGGCCGUCAGGAUUCCCACAACAGUAUCCACCAAGACAACCAGCACCUCCACAGUCAAACUCCAAGUCAGGUAUAUCUCUUGAAGAAAUUGUUAAAUCACUUGCAACUAACACUCAACAAUUUCAGCAGGCAACUACAGCAAGCAUUCAGAAUUUGGAGAACCAAAUGAGUCAAUUGGCCACUACAAUGAGCCGUCUGGAGUUUCAAGUAUUAGGGAGAUUGCCUUCACAAUCUGAGGUAAAUUUAAAGCAAAACGUUAGUACUGUCAUCCUUAGAAGUGGGAAGGAGUUACAAGAGCCUAGUAAGAAAGUGACAAAGCAUGUAGAAGAUGAGCUUGAGAAGAAUGAAUUGAUGCCUAAAUCUCAAGAUGCGCAACCCACCAAAGCGAAACCCCUACCUAUUGUGAUACCUCCUCAUUUUCUAAGCCGGUUUGUAAAAUCCAAGAAGGAGGAACAAGAGAAAGACAUCCUUGAGACAUUUCGCAAGGUUGAGGUAAAUAUUCCUUUAUUAGAUGCUAUAAAACAAAUACCUCGAUAUGCUAAAGUUCUUAAGGAACUGUGCACCUCCAAGAGAAAAUUAAGAGGAGAUGAAAAAGUUCACAUGGGGGAGAAUGUUUCAGCAGUUCUCCAAAAGAAAGUACCUCCUAAGUGCAUGGAUCCAGGUAUGUUUACUAUCCCUUGUAAAAUUGGUAGUGUUAGAGUUGAAAAUGCUAUGUUAGAUCUAGGAGCUUCUAUUAAUGUCAUGCCUCGUUCCAUUUAUUCAUCUUUGAAUGUUGGUCCAUUGAAAAAAACUGGCAUGAUAAUUCAACUAGCUGAUAGGUCUAAUGCAUAUCCUGAUGGGGUAUUAGAAGAUGUCUUAGUACAAGUUCAUGAGUUGGUUUUUCCUGUUGAUUUUUAUGUACUUGAUAUGGAAGAGGAUAACUCCUCUAAUUCUUUCCCAAUUUUGCUAGGAAGACCUUUUCUUAACACUACUAGGACUAAAAUGGAUGUACAUAAAGAGACUCUCACUAUGGAGUUUGAUGGAGAGGUUAUAGAAUUCAAUAUGAAUGAUGCCAUGAAAUAUCCUAAUGAGAAACAUUCGGCAUUUUCUGUGGAUGUUAUUAACCCUAUAAUGCAGGAAGUUUUUUACAAGGAAAAGACGAAGAAAUUUCAUGAUAGAAUGAUUUUGAGAAAGGAGCUCUCUGUUGGUCAAAAAGUUCUUUUUUAUUCUAAGCUUAAACUUUUUCCGGGUAAAUUACGUUCUUGCUGGGUUGGACCUUUUAUUAUUACUAAUGUUUUUCUUCAUAGUGCAGUUGAGAUUCGGAGUCCGACCUCUGACAAAGUUUUUAAGGUUAAUGGUCAUCGGUUAAAACCUUUUUAUAAAGGUUUUUCGGUGAAUAUUGUGGAGGAUAUGGCUCUCAAGAGUCCCAAUUAUGGAGAUUGAUGCAUAAAUGUGUCUAACCAAAGACAUAAAACAAAGGCGCUUUUUGGGAGGCAACCCAAAUGAUUUAUUUAUUUUGGUUUUUGUUAUAUCUUCUUUUCAUUUUGAUUCAGAUUUUUUAAAAAAAAUAACGUGUUUGCUUAUUUUGGCCAGAAGAAAAUGUUUGAUAAGGCGUGCCCACAUCUUAACUAAUAAGUACUUCUGUGAUUUUUAACGUAAAAUGGUUUUAAGGCGUGCGCACGUGCUUAUUAAAAAAGUACUUCUGAAAUUUUUAGUGUCUCAAGUGAUACAUCACUAAAAAAAAAAUUAUUUUAUUUAUUUAUUUAUUUGAAAAUUAAAAAAAUAAAAAAAGUUUUUUUUUCUUUUCUUUCUUUUAUAUUUUUAUUUAUUUGAAAAAAAUUUAAAAAAUGAAAAAAUAAAAAAAAGUUUUUUCUUUUUUUCUUUUAUAUAUUUUAUUUAUUUAUUUAUUUGAAAAAAAAUUUAAAAAAUAAAAAAAUUUUACUGUUCACAAAAUCCCUAAUUCACAGAAUUAGUGUUCUUCUCCAGCCGCUCCAGCCUUCACCGAGCAGCCACGCAGCACCAGCUCCAUCCCCAGCGCGCAGCAUCAUCCCCAGCCAGCGCGCAAGCAACCAGCCCCAACCCGCGCAGCACAACCAUCUGCGAAUAACCUGAACCAACAGCCGUGUACCUGCAAGCUCCAGCCGAGCAGCAACCAUCCGCAGCCGGCCUACGCCCUGCAUUCUAGCCGCGUGAAUCAAAAUCCGUGAGUUCAAUUAUUGUAACAAUGCCGAAGAGGAAAGCAUCAACUUCCAAGUCAUCUAAAAAGACACUCGUCGCAAAGAAAUCCAAGAUUUCCGCUCCCACUACGGUUCCAUGGAACACAGUUUUAGAUUCACGCCAAGCCGUGAGAUAAAGAUCGAAACAUGGAAAAGGCAUGAGUGUUUUGCCACUUGCGGAAUCCAAUCUCAGAGGGUGCCUCACAUUCACGACUCAACAAGAGAAAGAAAUGUACAAAGAUAUUUCCAAGCGAAAAAUACUUCCAGCUAAGUAUAUUCAUUACCCGACUCUUGAAAAAUUGAAUGUCAAGAAUAGUUUUGAUUCUUUGAUAGAUAAGAUUGGUUUGCGUAAGUUUGUUGAUGUUGAUUGUUUGGGUUAUGUUGAGUUGAUUAGGGAGUUCUAUGCUACUUUUCAAUUUAAUAUACUGAAUGAUUUUACUUUGCAUACCUCAGAUGUUAUAAAGUUUAGGUUAAUGGGACGAAAUUUUUCACACUCUAUCACGGAUUUUAACCUAGUUUUAGGAUUCAUUGAUGAUGAUUAUUCUUCUAGUGAUGUAUAUUUAGGGACAACUUGUGACUUUAGCGAAAAUUUUGAGCCUUAUGGUCUUUGGCGUAAUUUAUCUGUUGAUCACAAUGCCUAUGACCCAAGUAAAUCAAAGAGUUCUUUCUUACGUGAUCCUGUUUUGAAAUGUAUGCAUCGGUUCUUAGCAUAUAAUUUUUUAGGAAAGAAAGAUCACUCAAGAGUUUUCUCUAAAACUGAGUUUUGUUUUAUCUGGUGCAUAUUAAAUGAUGUGAGGCCUAACUUAGGUUUUUGGUUAGCAGAUCAAUUUCAAAGUGUGCUUAAACGGUAUAGGACUUUAUUUCUUGGUUCAUACAUUACUCUGUUAGUUAUAAACUUAUGUGUGCUUGAUCAUGACAACAAUGAUUUAUAUCCUGCUUGCAAAAAGAAAUUUUUGGAUAUGUCUGUGUUUGAAAGAACAGGUGUGGUCGAAUUCAAGGAGGGGAAAUUUCAGUUUACUGAACCAGGACCCACCCAACUUCCAAAGAAGUUUUAUACUAGGAGUGGUGCUACCUCUGAUGACGAGUUUGACGACGAAACUGCGGCCCCACCAACUAUUCCUUUUACAUCCGCACAACCUUUGAGCAUUCAGUUAGAGAAAAUGGAGCACAAGCUGAACAAGAUGGAGCAGAAUUUGGCCUCAUACUUCGAGAGUGUGGGAUUUAUCCCACCAUUUCCACUAAGCCCAUAGACGUUAUGAGGAUCAAAGCUCACAAUUCAGGAAAGUUUUCGCCUUUAAUCUUUUAUCCUUACGCUUUAAUUUUUAUGUGAGCUUUGAUUAUCUUACAUUGGGGACAAUGUAAGUGUCUGUCAAUGACAAAUUUAACCCACUACCACCAUUCAUAAUUAACCAAAAUCAAAUAAAUUAAAAAAGAAAACACAAAACAAGGAUAACUACUAGUUGUUUUGAUCAUCCUUGCUUCUUUUUCUUAGCAUAGCUCUUGUAAUGAAAAUUAACAAAAAGGGCCAAAAGGGAAGCAUUAAACACAGUAUUGAAGCACCAACCCCAAAACCCAGGGAAACCAAAUCCCGUGAAAUGAUAAUUCAGCAUCAAAAUGAAAAAUGUUAUGGAUGGCUGUGAUGGGUCUGAGGAUGUGGGGUCCAAUGAGAGGUGAUGAUGAUGGUGAUGUUGAUGUUGAUGUGUGGUAGAGGAUGGAUGUGAGGGAGAGGUAAGUAAUGAUGGAGUGAAUGAGGAUGUGUGGGAAGAAAGCUAGGGUUUGGUCUUGAGUCCACGUGAAGUUGAAGACUUGUGGGUGGCUUACAAGCAAUAAUGGAGUGUUAAGCUGAUUGAAUUUGAAGCCAUGGCUGGUUUUGGGGGAAGAUUGAUUUGGGAGAGAUGAUGGUCAGAGGAAUGGGGGAGUUUAGAAAGUUUGGGAUAUUGUGACGGGUGUUUUAGGCAUAUUUUUUCGUCUUAGCUUAAAUUUUUGUUAAAAAAAUGAUAAAUUCUUUUCUCAUAUCAAUUUAAAACUCCGAGUAUGUUUCCAAUUCUUCUUCUAUAGUGUCUAGACCUUUGUUUCAACGGCAUCUUUGGACGCGGGUUUCUUCUUUUUUGGUUAUUUCUUCUCAAACUUGUGCAGAUUACAUGCACUCAACGUGGAACCCUUUUGAAUGGAAGUUACUGUUUUGCUGGAAUCGGGACCAAUUUUUUGACAAAAAUUUCGCUAUAAAAUAUACAAUUAAAGUCGAGUAAGAUUAAGUAAAGUAACAUCUUGUAUGGUAAAGUACAUCGAGUAAGGAUUUCUAUAAUCGAGCUAGAAAGUAUAAUUAAAAUUAGAUAAGAGUGCCGCGGAGCAUUGUUUUAAAGUUACAGUAUCAAAGUAUUUAAUAAAUAUUUAUUAUUGUGACUUAAAAAUUAAGUUGGGAGUACAAAAAAAUCAAUAAUACAUUUAUUAAUUUUGUCAAAAUUAUUAUUUAAAAAUCAUAUAUACAAUACAAGAUCAACAAUUAUAUUAUAGCUUCAGUUCCUUUUUCACAAUAACUAUAACUACAACACGGUAGUACUAAAUAGGAAGUCGAGUAUGAUCAAGUAAUUACAUGUUAUGGUUUUUUGGUAUUACAUGAUUCUUCAAACUGAAAUUUGCGAUCAAAAUUGUAUCAAAGAAAUCACAGAGACACUCUGUUUGACAAAUCUGCAGUAGAAUUUGCACAAUUUAACUGGAUUGCAGAGAGUGAAUAAGAUUCCAAAGCAACAGGCAAUUAUUGUUAUUAAGAAAACAAUUCAUCGCUAGAACAAAAUUAACUUUUCUAACAUACUAGAAUUUAACUGGAGAAAAAUUGGAAUAUACGACGUUGUAUCACAUAUAGUAUUUAGACAUCAAGAAAAGAAUCCCUCUAUUAGUGAACUAUACUUGCCAGGAAACACGGUGAAAUACCACUACCUCCCUACUAGAUUAAUGCAGCAAAAUUGGGCAAUUGACUUGAUUAACUCCAAGAAAUUUACGCAGUCACAUUCUUCCGGACUAUCCUCUUUCUUCGCACUUUAGGAGCUGUUGUUUCCCCUUACAGAGUCGACAUUCCCUUGUUUGAUGCCAAGGAGCCCAAGCCCAGAGCCAAUGGCAUUCUUUGGUAUCAACCACUUUGGGAACUUUUGAGUUGAGCCAUUGACAUCCUGAGACGGCCUGUUGUGAGCCUUCUUCAAAAGGUCAUCUGACUGAAGUAGCGGAUCCGCUUCCACUCCUAGCCAAGCAAGCCUUGAUCUUUCUCCUAAUUGGACAUUAAGAACCCUGCAUGGAAUCCAUUUGAGAAGUUGAACAAUAGACAAAGUCCAACACAUAUAGGCAGUAAAGAAGAAUUUGGACAGCAAUUACUGACUGUUUAUGCACAGGGCUGAACAAAUGGGAAUAUUAAGGCACUUAAAAGUUGGAACCAUAUUCACCACUUGUAUUUCCUCAGAGAACUAUCUCAGAGUUCUGUUAAUUUAAAACCAUUCUAACGUAUUUAACUACAAAACUAGAGAAAUCGUACUUCUGUAGCGGAGUCUCACUAUUGUUAAGGAUCUAGACUUGGAAAGUAUGCAAGUUGAUUAGGUAAAGAAAAAUUGAAAUAAUACUUGGUGAUAGAUCAACACACUUCAAUAGAAACCACACUAACAUCAUAUCAGACAAAUAAACAGAUUCCCCGAGUCAAAGUUUAACAAACAAAACAUUAAAACAAGGAUAAUUUGGUACGACCAGAAUAGUCUAUCAAUGUAUAUAGAGAGGGAGAGACCUCAAAGCAGCGCUUAAGAACAGUGCUACUCCAAUAACAUCAAUAUGGUUGAUGACCGCUCUAUCAAAUCCAUUGGAAAUCGUAUACUUAUAAUUUUUUUUUUCAAACUUUGUCUAAAAUAAAUGAAUGAGAUAAGAUAAAUUCGAAUAAAUUAAUCUGCAUAAUGACACAAGAAACAAAUGUAAAUUGACCACAAGUAGAAAUAUACUUUUGUUAUCUUCCAAUUUCUUUCCCUUGAGCUCUGUUUCUGCGAGUGCUCAAAAGCAAGACACGGGCCUUGUUAAGAGUAUAGCUGAAGCUGGUGACGUGUAUAAGCUGCUGAUGAAGCUGCUGAGCUGGCUGGCUAGUGAUGUGUAUAAAUUGAAGGUGCUGAGCUGGAUUGGGUUGUUGUUUACACCAACUAAAGCUGUAACAGAUUAUCCAGCUGGCUUGUUAUGAUUGGAAAUUAGAUUAGUUUGUUAAUACAGCAAACGAUUAGCUCUGUUUUAGUAGUUAGCCUUGAAUGUAACUAUAAAUACUGGCUAACACGUUUUCAGUGUUAAGCUUGAGUUUUAAUCAAUAAAAAUCAAUUCAGUUAAAGUUUCUUUGUUAAUUUUCUUUCACUUUCUCACUUGCCAAACAACCUAUUAAUUCUAAAAGGCCUCAAGAUAUAAUUAUCAUCAUCAAUCUUUUGCAGCCACAUGCAGUACUUGGAAAAUGUUUAUGGCCCUAAAUAACUGGAAAAUCAGAAAACAUUAAGAACAAGAGACUAAUCAUUUUAAUCGCAACAAAACAUGCACACUAUGAAAAUAUAAAAUUGAAUUACUUCGAAUGGAUGUGCCUCUUAACAGGAAUUGCACAAGCUAAUGAGCAAGUGAGCCUUGAACAGUUAUCACUCAACUCAAACUAAAAUGAAAUUACUGUGGACAUGUGAAUUAAAAAUAGAUGUAAAAGUAGUUUUCUCAAAGCAAAGUCAAGAUAAGAGAUUAACUCUGCUCCGUAAUUACAUUAAAAAUAACAAACAAUGAAAAACAGAGCUAGAGAAGAACUUACCUGUGCGUUGAGACCAUGUGGGGAAUGUGAGAUAUCUUCUUAGAUUUGGUUUGAGAAACCCUGCCAAUUAAAAUUUCGGUCCCCAUGUAGCAGAAUUUCUUAUUUUUCCUUUGUACACAAAUGCAGACACUUAAGCAAAUUAAGAUUUCUUAUCUAAAGCAAAUUAGGAUUUCUUUUGACCCUGCAAAUUACAAUUUCAGUCCCCAUGUAAUAGGAAAAUUUUGUACACAUAUUUAUAGCAAAUUAAUAUUUCAUACCUCACAAUAUUUAUCAGAACCAUCAAUCUUUAGAAACCACAUGCAGACUUGGUAAACUGUUUAUGGCCCAAAAUAACAGGAAAAUUAGAACAGAUUUUUAAGAAUGAGCGACUAAAUAUUUCAAUGGCAACUAAAAUUACACAUCUUGGAAAUCUGAAACUCAAGUACUCAGAACACUGUUAGUGCAUUGCAUAAGUCAAUUGCAUAAUCUUGGGUAAAAAUUACGCAGCAAUUAAACAAGCUGGGAACUUUAGUGCAAAUGCUUUUUCAUAAUCUUCAAUUGCAUAAGUCAGUUAGAAUCAAUCUUUCUUAAUCUUUCAAUUCACAUAUGAGAGCCUGAUAACACAAGGAAACACUGUAAGUGAAUUGUCAACUGUGACAAAUUUUGGGUAAAAAUUAUCAACUGUAGUUAUCUGCAUAACAUUUAGUGUCAACCCCAAAUUCCUUACUGAUCCGUGGAAGCAUUUCAGCCCACAGACGGUUAGCUUUGUCAAUAUACGGCAACUCAGGAUUCUAUAUUUAAACUAUGAUGUUUGAUGACUUGCUGAUACAAAAGACAUUGCCCCAAGCACUUUUUUACAUUAGCUAAAAUCAAGCCAAUCACUUCCAUUUGUUGCAGUUUUAAUGCAGAAAGAAAAAGGUGGGGAAAAAAUCUGCAAGAUGCCACUUGUAAUACCGCAUGUUCGCAGAAGCAGAGUUAAAUAAUUACAAAAUUACAUUCUUUAUGAAAGCUUGCGAUUAUUGGGAGAGCUCUACUCAAAUUUAAUGAGAUAUCUCUCAGAAGGGAGAGCUCUAAUAAUAUAUAAAGCCAAAAAUCUAACACUCAUCAAAUUGGCUUGUGAACAAUUAAUCUUCCUUGCCAUCAUAAAUGCCAGGUGUGGUGAACAAUCUUCAUUCUGACAUUUGCCUUAAUAAGCUGCUUAGUAUCCUUAACCUGAUAACUUACACAAACAAAAACAACUUCACUAAAGUUUAUUCUUUAAAGGCAAAACAGUAAACCAGAUGAUGUAUGCUGAUACAAAAAAUUGACCUGAGUUAUCCUGAUGUCAAGAAUCACAGAACCUCACGUGGGCAAAAUCAUCGCAAUACAAGAUGCUGAAUUCAAGCAACAUCUUAUCACCUGUAAUUUAAUUAAGACAAUAACUUUCCUCAACUAUUAGCCUUCUCAAUUUCAAUGUAUUAUUGGCAACUAAAUUCAUAGGGGACGCAGCUAAUUAAAUGCCCUUUUAACAAUAUCUUCCCCACCUAACAAUUAUUUGGAAAAUCUAAAUGACAAUCAUGCAUUGAUGGCAUAAAAUAUUGGCCACAAAGCUGCCUACAAAAAGGCUUUAAAUUCUUAAUGAGACAACGUAUUCGAACAAAUAUGGUGAAUGAAGAGACAAAGCAUAACACCUCAAGAAGUAAAGCUCUGUUUCUGUAUAUGCUCAAACCAAUGGAAACCCAUGGAAAUGGAUUUCUACGAAUUAGACAUGUCAGCCAAAACAGGUACUCUGUACAGGCAAAGUAAAAGAGAGUUACAAAAAAUUUUAAGAUAAUUAAACUUUUAAUAACCAUAUAAUUAAUAGAAAACUUUGUACACAAUGAUUUAUAUGAGAUUAAGAUUGUAUACCUAAGUUUUAAUUGCAAACUAAAUAUACACAACAUGAUAUUAGCAUUAGAAGACUGCACCAAAACGUACCGAAUUGAAUGUACCUUUUAACGGCCAUUGUACAUGCAUUGAAAGUUUACCGCAAAAUCUGUUUCAAACGUGAUGCAUCUUAGAGAUGCAAGAUGAGAAAUUGUUAGUACAACUAGCAUUGAAACAUGUGUGAAAACUGUUAAUGGACCUAAAUAACUUGAAAAUCAGAAAAGAUUAGGAAUGAGUGACUAAGCCUGCUAAUCACAACUAAUCCAAAACUGUUAAUGGACCUAAAUAAUAGUGUUAAUACCGAAUUCCUUCCUCCAUGGAAGCAUAUGAUCAGCCCACAUGUGCUUUGCUCUGUAGCUUUUGAGUACCUGAAAUUGUUAUUACAACCAGCGGUGAAAAUUGGGUGAAAAAAUGGUAAUGUUAGCAUAAUUGAAUUUGCUUAUAGAGGAUAAACCGAUCAAAGAAAAAAACAAGAUAGAAAUGAUUAUCUUAGUACCUUAAUAUCAUGCAAUAAAAAUCACCAUGCCUUCCAGGCAGCUGUCCAUCCUCAAUUGAAACAGAGCAGACCUGGCCAUCACUUUCUUCUUCAAAGUCCAGCAACGGAACGUUGCACACAACACCACAGUGGAAGUAGUUCCAUCACCAGCCUAAUCCUUGAUUACCCCAAUGUUCUCCAUAGGGUCUUCAAAGUCAACCUAAAAAUAAAAUGAAAAUGCAAUGCAUUAUUAUUAGGGAUCUAGUGCUUGAGCUUGCUUUGACAUCAUGGUAUUAGCAAAUUCUGAUAUAGCCAAAAUGGUGAAUAAGAUGAUGUACUUGAUAAGAAAAACCUGAUUUAACAAAUAAUUAAGAAGCCGGUAACAAUCACAUAAUCUCAUCAUGUGGGGAAUGCCUUGGUAACAGAAGAUGGUGCUUUCAUUCAAGCAAUAGCAACUUUCCAAUUUCAUAAGGUAGUUUAAUGGCCCUUUUAAGAACAUCUGUACCAGCCUAACAAUUAUUCAUGGAAAUUAAAAUUCAGAAUCAUAUUAGAUUGAGAGAUGAAAUAUAAUAAGCGAUUUGGCCACCAUAUAUGCAUUUAUCACCUUCAAUUUGCUCAUCUUUGUCUAGAGUAUUGCUUCUGCAUUAACUUAAUUAGCUUGCAAGCCACCUACAAAUGGUUUUAAAUAAUGUGUGAGAGUGUGAAUUCGAACGAAUUAAUCAAAUAUGCUGACAGGAGAAACAAAAGUAAAUAACCACAAGAAGUAGAAAUAUACUUUUGUUAUAUUCAGAGCAUCUUCUUGCGUCAAGUUCUUUUCCUUUAGCUCUGUUUCUGUUUGUGCUCAAACGCAAUGGCUCAAGGGUCAAGAUAAUUUUAUGACCAUCAAUCUUUUUGCAGCCACAUGCAGACUUGAAAAACAGGUCGUGGCCCUAAGGAACUUGAAAAUUAGAAAAGAUUCAGAAUGAGUGACUAAAUAUUAUAAUCGAAACUAAUUAAACAUACACGCCUAGAAAAUCUGAAACUGAACUUCUCA
rnacentral:lncRNA from 1 species